rnacentral:rRNA from 1 species
AGAGUUUGAUCAUGGCUCAGAUUGAACGCUGGCGGCAUGCCUAACACAUGCAAGUCGAACGGCAGCAUGACCUAGCUUGCUAGGUUGAUGGCGAGUGGCGGACGGGUGAGGAAUGCAUCGGAAUCUGCCCAGUCGUGGGGGAUAACGUAGGGAAACUUACGCUAAUACCGCAUACGACCGUAAGGUGAAAGCGGGGGAUCGAAAGACCUCGCGCGAUUGGAUGAGCCGAUGCCGGAUUAGCUUGUUGGUGGGGUAACGGCCCACCAAGGCGACGAUCCGUAGCUGGUCUGAGAGGAUGAUCAGCCACACUGGGACUGAGACACGGCCCAGACUCCUACGGGAGGCAGCAGUGGGGAAUAUUGGACAAUGGGGGCAACCCUGAUCCAGCAAUGCCGCGUGUGUGAAGAAGGCCUUCGGGUUGUAAAGCACUUUUAUCGGGAAAGAAACACUGUCGGCUAAUACCCGGCGGGACUGACGGUACCCGAUGAAUAAGCACCGGCUAACUCCGUGCCAGCCGCCGCGGUAAUAC